CAAUUGAUGUUGGAAGAUCAUUUCAUGCUUAGAUUCUCCUAUCUAUUGUGCACAAUGUAGAGAUAGAUUUGUUUGUAGUUUCAGAUGUUAAAUGGUUCACACUAAAUAUUUUUCUUGAAAAUUUUACAGUAAUUACUUUGCUGGCUUUUAUGCUGGAGUUUUAUCUGAUAAUGUAGCUCAUGCAACUGUAGGAAUGGAUUGCUCCAAGGCCAAUGCACUUGCAUUUACUAAAUGGAGCUCUACAACAUCCAAGUUCUGCUGAACAAGAAUCUGAUCUGUGGUCUCCUUUGCCUAAUCAAGGAAGGAAGCCUUGUGCUGCUCAAAAUAACCCUUCUUUGCCAAAGAAGUCUCUGGGAUAUAUACAGGUGUUUCUUGAUGGGGGUUUG